rnacentral:rRNA from 1 species
UACGAAGGGUGCAAGCGUUACUCGGAAUUACUGGGCGUAAAGCGUGUGUAGGCGGUUUGUUAAGUCCGUUGUGAAAGCCCUGGGCUCAACCUGGGAAUUGCAGUGGAUACUGGCAAGCUAGAGUACGGUAGAGGAUGGUGGAAUUCCCGGUGUAGCGGUGAAAUGCGUAGAGAUCGGGAGGAACACCCGUGGCGAAGGCGGCCAUCUGGACCAGUACUGACGCUGAGGCACGAAAGCGUGGGGAGCAAACAGG